GAAUAUUAGUCAAUGAUCGAAAGAUUGAUCUAGUUACUUAGAAAGAUGAAGAUUAUAAAAAGAAAAUAAAAAGAAAAAGAAAAUAAUAAUGAAGAAUAUAAAAUCAAUAUAUAUAUAAAAGAACCCCCCACCUACGGUGGGGGUUCCUAAGAGAAUAAUGAUGAUUAUAUAUAUAGAAGUCUUAACCAAAAUUAGUGCCAGCAGUUGCGGCUAAACUAAGGAGGCGAACGUUAAUCAUUAAUGGCUUAAAGGAUCCGUAGAAUGAUAUGUAAAAAUACAUAUUAGAGUUAAAUUGAAUAAUUAUGAAAAAUUAUAUUGAGAGAUGAAAUGUGUGGAAAAUAAUUAGACAAAUAAACGUGAAGAUAAAAUUAAAGAUUUAACUGACAUUGAGGGAUGAAGGCAUGAUUAGCAAAACGGAUUAGAUACCCGAGUAGUUCAUGCAGUAAACGAUGAAUACUAUAAAAGAAAUAAGCGAAAGCUAAAGUAUUCCGCCAGGAGAGUAUAGCUUCAAAGUUGAAAUCCAAGACAAUAGACGGUUACAGUUGUAGGCAGUGGAUUGUGUUAUUUAAU
rnacentral:rRNA from 1 species